rnacentral:rRNA from 1 species
CCUACGGGUGGCAGCAGUGGGGGAUAUUGCACAAUGGGGGAAACCCUGAUGCAGCGACGCCGCGUGGGCGAAGAAGUAUUUCGGUAUGUAAAGCCCUAUCAGCAGGGAAGAAGAAAUGACGGUACCUGAGUAAGAAGCACCAGCUAAAUACGUGCCAGCAGCCGCGGUAAUACGUAUGGUGGAAGCGUUAUCCGGAUUUACUGGGGUUAAAGGGAGCGCAGGGGGUCAGGCAAGCCUGAUGUGAAAGCCCGCGGCGCAACCGCGGGACUGCAUUGGGAACUACCGGGCUGGAGUGCCGGAGAGGUAGGCGGAAUUCCUAGUGUAGCGGUGAAAUGCGUAGAUAUUAGGAGGAACACCAGUGGCGAAGGCAGCCUACUGGACGGUGACUGACGCUGAGGCUCGAAAGCGUGGGGAGCAAACAGGAUUAGAUACCCUAGUAGUC